UAGGGAAUUUUGCGCAAUGGGCGAAAGCCUGACGCAGCAACACCGCGUGCGGGAUGAAGGCCUUCGGGUUGUAAACCGCUGUCGGCAGGGAAUAAAUUGACUGUACCUGCAGAGGAAGCACCGGCUAACUACGUGCCAGCAGCCGCGGUAAGACGUAGGGUGCAAGCGUUGUCCGGAUUUAUUGGGCGUAAAGAGUUCGUAGGCGGUUGUUCAAGUCUGAUGUUAAAGCCUGGAGCUCAACUUCGGCAUGGCAUUGGAAACUGGACGGCUAGAGUAUGGUAGAGGUUACGGGAAUUCCUGGUGUAGCGGUGAAAUGCGUAGAUAUCAGGAGGAACACCUGUGGCGAAAGCGCGUGACUGGACCAUAACUGACGCUGAGGAACGAAAGCCAGGGUAGCAAA
rnacentral:rRNA from 1 species